rfam:Picea glauca, whole genome shotgun sequence.
GUAACGGUGUCUUUAGACACCACCCUUUAUCUUCGAAUUUUUUUAU